CCUGGAUGCCUUUUCUGCAGGGCUCUGUGUGAUAUGUUUGAUAUAUUAGGUUGUUAUUUAAUCCAACUAUAUAUCAAACAUAUUCCUAUAGUGUCCUGCCCUGUCUCCGGGGGUUUAUAAAGUAGUAUAAGGCAA
rnacentral:miRNA from 1 species